UCAUGCCCCUUAUGACCUGGGCUACACACGUGCUACAAUGGAUGGUACAACGAGUCGCCAACCCGCGAGGGUGCGCUAAUCUCUUAAAACCAUUCUCAGUUCGGAUUGCAGGCUGCAACUCGCCUGCAUGAAGUCGGAAUCGCUAGUAAUCGCGGAUCAGCACGCCGCGGUGAAUACGUUCCCGGGCCUUGUACACACCGCCCGUCACACCACGGAAGUUGGGAGUACCCAAAGUAGGUUGCCUAACCGCAAGGAGGGCGCUUCCUAAGGUAAGACCGAUGACUGGGGUGAAGUCGUAACAAGGUAGCC
rnacentral:rRNA from 1 species